rnacentral:rRNA from 1 species
AUACAGAGGGUGCGAGCGUUAAUGGGAAUUACUGGGCGUAAAGCGCGCGUAGGCGGCUUGGUCAGUCGGAUGAGAAAGCCCCGGGCUCAACCUGGGAAUGGCAUUCGAUACUGCCAGGCUAGAGUAUGGGAGAGGGAAGUGGAAUUUCCGGUGUAGCGGUGAAAUGCGUAGAUAUCGGAAGGAACACCAGUGGCGAAGGCGACUUCCUGGCCCAAUACUGACGCUGAGGUGCGAAAGCGUGGGGAGCGAACAGGAUUAGAAACCCUAGUAGUCC